AUUUUUGGUGAGGAGUGCAUGAAAGGCCAGAAAAACUGAGAUUUUAUGAGAAGACUGAACCCUUCAAAUCCAAGUGCUGACUUGAAGAUGCCCUUUCUAAAUAUUAUUUCCUGCCUGGGUCUUAGAUGUAGGGUGCCAGGAUGCUCAGGAAUUACUGGAUUCAACUGUGUGACUGACCAGAAGGAUCCUGGCUUUUCUCCCUCUGUGCUUAAUGGUGAAAAU
rnacentral:lncRNA from 12 species